rnacentral:tRNA from 1 species
CGGGGCGUAGCGCAGCCUGGUAGCGCUCUUCACUGGGGGUGAAGGGGUCGUGAGUUCGAAUCUCGCCGCCCCGACCA